rnacentral:rRNA from 1 species
CUCCUACGGGAGGCAGCAGUGGGGAAUAUUGCACAAUGGGCGCAAGCCUGAUGCAGCCAUGCCGCGUGUAUGAAGAAGGCCUUCGGGUUGUAAAGUACUUUCAGCAGUGAGGAAGGUGGGUAUGUUAAUAGCAUACUCAUUUGACGUUAGCUGCAGAAGAAGCACCGGCUAACUCCGUGCCAGCAGCCGCGGUAAUACGGAGGGUGCGAGCGUUAAUCGGAAUUACUGGGCGUAAAGCGCAUGCAGGUGGUUUGUUAAGUCAGAUGUGAAAGCCCGGGGCUCAACCUCGGAAUUGCAUUUGAAACUGGCAAACUAGAGUACUGUAGAGGGGGUAGAAUUUCAGGUGUAGCGGUGAAAUGCGUAGAGAUCUGAAGGAAUACCGGUGGCGAAGGCGGCCCCCUGGACAGAUACUGACACUCAGAUGCGAAAGCGUGGGGAGCAAACAGGAUUAGAUACCCUGGUAA